CUGGAGAGGUCUCACCUCUCACCGAGAUGCACUCAGGGCCUAUCAGCAUUUUGAAUAUGUCAUCCACUGCUUUGGCCUCCAUUGUUUCUGAUGAAAAGUCGUGCUUGCCUGGAAUAGAACUUCUGCAACACAGAGCUGGGGCAAAGAAGGAUGAGAAACGUUGGUGGCUUCCUUGCCCUGGGGAGAUACUGUAGCUCUUCAGUGGGAACUCAGGGAAGUGGGAGCCUCAUGUUUUUGGAUUUACCUGCUUGGAGUAGAGCAUCUGUCACAUUGAGUUGAAGUGGGGUGGGGAGGGAGCGUGUCACGGCCCAGAUACUAUAGACACCCACUGUUCUUACCAAGAUUUAGUAGAUUUUUAAAUAAAUGUUUCUUCAUUUCA